UUUGUUCUGUUCCAGUAAAAGGAAAGAGGCUUUUACGAGCAGGUACAUUAAAAUAGGCAUUUUUAAAGGAGAACGUUUGAACAUUAAUUUCCCACUGGUGCCAUUGAUAAAUCUCUCCAUCAGUCUUGCUUCAGUCUAGCUCUGGCGGUGCUCACAUACUGCUGCAGUUGAGGGUGUAAUAUUAGUUUGUGUAUCACAGUUUAAAAUCUGACACGUAUAUCCAUAUUUUUUUUUAUUUUAAUUUUUGCACACUUAUUGGUACCCUGAGUAAUCUCUGU